AUGUUGUUCAGUGUAUUCAUGUUUGCAUCUGUUUAUCAUGAGUGUCAUGGAGAAGACAGUGCUGAUCAGCUAGAUAAACACAUCGCUGAAUUUGAAGGAAGAUCAGUAACAUUACAAUGCAAAUAUAAAACAGCUUCAUCACAACCAGAACUUUUCUGGUACAUCCAGAGAGCAAAUGACUUUCCUAAAUACAUGCUGAGGAGAAACAAAUUUGGAGCAAAAGAUAAUGAUGCUCAGUUUCAGGAGAGAUUUCAUUCUGAAGUGUCCUCAGAUUCAGUUCCACUGAUGAUCAAGAAUCUGCGUGUGUCUGACUCUGCUGUGUACUACUGUGCUCUGCCGCCCACAGUGACUGAAACACACUCAACACUCACAUAA